rnacentral:lncRNA from 1 species
GCCUUCGUCUUUCCUCAGUACUCUUACAACCAACCUAUUUAUAGCCCAGGAAAGGAAAAAGCUUACUGGAGGCAGGAAAACUAAGUUCGGAAAGAAUAGGAGGAAGUGUGCCUGCCAUUUAGCCAAACAACCUUUAAUUCAUUGAGCUCAAAGCUUAGCAGCUUCACUGUGGCUGCUGGGCAUAAACAGCUGGCAAAUUUCAAUUUUUUUUCUCUUUACUUUUGAACUGGAUUUAGGCAAUGAGGGUGAUAACCAUGUUUUAGAAAAGAAAAUAGGAAUCUUGGGUGCUUAGACACAAUGAAGAGAAACUUGCAAGAAGUUUAUGAGGAUGAAAGAAAAAGAUAGUGGGAUGAACUUCAGAUGAUUGCAUGUCCGCAGUUAAGUUGUCUUGUCAGGUGCUGUUAAAAUUCUGUGGAUGGGAGAGUUAAACAUGUGUGAGCAGUUACAACCUUUAUUUCAAAUUAUGUGUGCCUCUGGCUAACCUGAUUUGGAGUAAAACUCUGCAGCAGUACUGACUUCUAAUCUUAAAGACUACUUACUGGUCAUACCAUAUAUUGAGGAGGUCCUAGACCACACUGUGGAAUAGAAAUAUAAGGUAUCAGCUAAAAUGGAAUAGCUGAAAGGAAGCUGAGAAUUGACAGUUUUUGAAAUAUGGCCUAUUAGACAAUCCAACUCUUCAUUUAGGCUGAGUACCUUUGAAUUCUUCAACUGACGGUAAGAGUAAUAGAGGUUUAAAAAAUUUCCAGUUUUUGAAAUCUGGAUUAUAUGUUUGUAAAAAUAUUUCAUCAUCAUAUGUUCAAGUGAAUUUACACCUAGGAAUAAAUUCUGUUCCAUUGUCUAAGACUAGCUUUCUGAAAGUAUUACAGAUUUUCUGCUUAAUGCUACAUGAAACAUAGCGCAACGAAAAAAUCUCUAGCAAUUAAUGCA